UCCCUGGCGGUCCAGUGGUUAGGACUCAGGACUUUUACUUCUGGGGCCCAGGUUCAAUCCCUGGUUGGGGAA
rnacentral:tRNA from 1 species